rnacentral:rRNA from 1 species
AACGAACGCUGGCGGCAUGCCUAACACAUGCAAGUCGAACGAGACCUUCGGGUCUAGUGGCGCACGGGUGCGUAACGCGUGGGAACCUGCCCUUAGGUUCGGAAUAACUCCCCGAAAGGGGUGCUAAUACCGGAUAAUGUCUUCGGACCAAAGAUUUAUCGCCUUUGGAUGGGCCCGCGUUGGAUUAGCUAGUUGGUAGGGUAAAAGCCUACCAAGGCGACGAUCCAUAGCUGGUCUGAGAGGAUGAUCAGCCACACUGGGACUGAGACACGGCCCAGACCCCUACGGGAGGCAGCAGUGGGGAAUAUUGGACAAUGGGCGAAAGCCUGAUCCAGCAAUGCCGCGUGAGUGAUGAAGGCCUUAGGGUUGUAAAGCCCUUUUACCCGGGAUGAUAAUGACAGUACCGGGAGAAUAAGCUCCGGCUAACUCCGUG